rnacentral:rRNA from 1 species
GACGAACGCUGGCGGCGUGCUUAACACAUGCAAGUCGAACGGAAAGGCCCUGCUUUUGUUGGGUGCUCGAGUGGCGAACGGGUGAGUAACACGUGAGUAACCUGCCCUUGACUUUGGGAUAACUUCAGGAAACUGGGGCUAAUACCGGAUAGGAGCUCCUGCUGCAUGGUGGGGGUUGGAAAGUUUCGGCGGUUGGGGAUGGACUCGCGGCUUAUCAGCUUGUUGGUGGGGUAGUGGCUUACCAAGGCUUUGACGGGUAGCCGGCCUGAGAGGGUGACCGGCCACAUUGGGAAUGAGAUACGGCCCAGAAUCCUACGGGAGGAAGCAGUGGGGAAUAUUGCACAAUGGGCGGAAGCCUGAGGCAGCAACGCCGCGUGCGGGAUGAUGGCCUUCGGGUUGUAAACCGCUUUCGCCUGUGACGAAGCGUGAGUGACGGUAAUGGGUAAAGAAGCACCGGCUAACUACGUG